AGAAUGAACGUUGGCGGCGUGGAUCAGGCAUGCAAGUCGAACGAAUCCCAGGGGGGUAACUCUCUGGGGGAAGUGGCGAACGGGGCAGUAAGGCAUGGGUAACCUGCCCCGGACUUCGGGAUAGCCUUCCUAACGGAUGGAUAAUACCGAAUGUCGUAACGUGGGGGCCUCCUCGUGUUACGAAAGCUCCGGCGGUCCGGGAGGGCUCAUGUGGUAUUAGCUAGUUGGUGAGGUGAAGGCUCACCAAGGCGAAGAUGCCUAGCAGGUGUGAGAGCACGACCUGCGCCACUGGCACUGUGACACUGGCCAGACUCCUAACGGGAGCUGCAGUCGAGGAUCGUUCGGCAAGUGGGACGAAAGCCUAGGAACCGAGCCGACCGGCCGCGUGUCGCGAUGGAACGGCCCGUUCGGGCUAGAAAGCACGUCGUGGUGGGGAAGAAACGGCCCG
rnacentral:rRNA from 1 species